rnacentral:rRNA from 1 species
UACGUAGGGUGCAAGCGUUAAUCGGAAUUACUGGGCGUAAAGCGUGCGCAGGCGGUUUUGUAAGUCUGUUGUGAAAUCCCCGGGCUCAACCUGGGAAUGGCAAUGGAGACUGCAAGGCUAGAGUUUGGCAGAGGGGGGUAGAAUUCCACGUGUAGCAGUGAAAUGCGUAGAUAUGUGGAGGAACACCGAUGGCGAAGGCAGCCCCCUGGGUCAAGAUUGACGCUCAUGCACGAAAGCGUGGGGAGCAAACAGG